AAACCGUUGAAAGGGAAGCGAAUGGAGUUAGCAAUUCGCCCUGCCAGAUUCAGUUGUUCGCACUUCGCGACGUGCACGCUCUCGAUCCGCAUGGACGAGACGUGCACGGACGCGACGUGUGGACGGCGCACUUCUGGCGGGCGAGCGUCAGCGUCGGUCGUCGACGGGCGACAAGGUCGCGAGGAAGGUAGACGUGCCUUCCGGCGCGUUGUUAAGACUCGCGUUCGCAUGGCUCGACGACGACCGCGGCUCCUUCAUGCGGAGGCAACGCGUGCCUGGCUGGCGACUCGUGCCAUCGGUCCGGCAUGUCAACCGCGGCGGACGGCACGCGUGUGCGCUCGAACUGUUGUCGGUCGCUCGCACCAUGUUCGCACACUACG
rnacentral:rRNA from 1 species